rnacentral:rRNA from 1 species
CCUACGGGAGGCAGCAGUAGGGAAUCUUCCACAAUGGACGCAAGUCUGAUGGAGCAACGCCGCGUAAGUGAAGAAGGUUUUCGGAUCGUAGAGCUCUGUUGUUGGUGAAGAAGGAUAGAGGUAGUAACUGGCCUUUAUUUGACGGUAAUCAACCAGAAAGUCACGGCUAACUACGUGCCAGCAGCCGCGGUAA